GUGCCUAUAAAAGGGGGAGUGUUUGGUUGCUUGGGAUGCAUCAUCCUUGGUACCGCCCCUUUGUGACAUGUGGCGCUUUGAAUGAGUGCCAGCAGUUGGGUUAUCCUCCUGUCUGUCGUGUGCUGGCUGUUGGCCAGUUUUCAGAUAUGGGCCUGCCAGUAGCUGUAAUCCUGCGUGGUGAGCGACCAUGUGUAUUGCAGCAUUGUACUGUUUUCUUGGAUUGAUUGCACGUCCAGGGGUUUCUAAUGAUCUUAAUUGAAGCCUAAUGAACCUCACGUAACUGACUGCA